rnacentral:lncRNA from 1 species
AGAGGCACUUCACGGCAGCUGUCGGCGCUUUGGGAGGGACCGGCCUCCCUCAGCCUUUCACUGUCUGGCUUCAUAGUUUGAGUACAGGAGUUGGACAGGCUGUGGCAAGGGCUGAUGUGACUCCCAGGUCAGAGGAAGUCGGAAGGAAGGGGGCUGGUGUCUACUGUCCGUGAGCUUACAGGCCAGGGGUUCUUGGGGCAU